UUUAAACUCUAGGCUGUGUUGGUACACGCUUAAACAUAACGGGUGGGGUGGGGGCGACUUCAUGUACGAAAACGAUUUAUUGUCUGUACAUUUCCUCCGUGACAUACACUCAUUACACUCACUAUGUUGAUAAAGAGUCAAAUUGCUUUGAAUACUGAAUGAUCCAGUUAAGGGGUGAUGGGGAACCUGGAGCCUAUCCCAGGGAGCAUGGGGCACAAGGUGGGGGUACACCCUGGAUGGGGUACCAAUCCAUCGCAGGGCACAACCACAUACUCAUUCACACACUAUGAACACUUUGGACAUUCCAAUCAGAUUACCACACAUGUCUUUGGACUGGGGAACGAAACCGGAGUACCCGGAGGAAACCCCCGCAGCACGGGGAGAACAUGCAAACUCCGCGUGCACACACAGGGCCACAGCGGGAAUCAAAUCCCCAACCAUAGCGGCGUGAAGCAAAUGUGCUAACCACUAAGCCACAAAUGCAUAAUAUUGAAACCCUAUAUAUUUUUUUUUAAUUAAGCAGAAUGAGCCUUGUUUAUCCUUGGUUGGACAUGAACGAAUCUGCCAUAAAUCAUUCACAAGAUCAUUAAACAUAAAUAUUAAUGAAAAUCAGUUGUUAUUUAAAAAAAAUAAAAUAAAAUAAAAAAAACAGUAACCUACACAUGCUCCGAGUUUCUGUAAAUUUACAUAACUAGAUUCAGUCAUGUAAACAUCAACUGAACAGCUUCAAAUUUUCUAACUGGCUAAGAGUGACUUUAAACUUAUAUAGAAUUUACGCUCUCAACACGCUAUACGUGUUUAAAUCACGCAUUUAAUUGAACUGCACACUUAAAUUUAAGAAAAAUAAAAAAAAGUGAAAAAGUUUUCACACUGUAUUUUCAAUAUGCGCACACGAACAAAUUCCUCUGAAACAAUUCAACCACUACAACCUGUUUUAUAUAGUUUACACGAUCAUAGAAGGCACAUUUAUAUACAACUUAAAUAUUAAGCCAAAUGAAACACAAUCCAAUAACUGGUGUUAGCUGAAUAUUCAGCAAGCCUAUACAUACUGAUUAAGUAUUAACAGAUACCAGAAGAAGCUUGUGUGCUCAUAAACAUUAGUAUAAGGGACAUCUGUGGUGUGGGAUGAGAGGAGGACAAGAGAGAGAGAGUCUGUGUGUGCGUGCAUGCAGCGUGCAACACUAGAGUCACUGAUCCAUUUUCCCGAUUCACACGAUUCCAAAUGAUCACAGCAGAGGUCUGUACACAGUACAAGUGUUUACUUCAUACACACAUUGGGAACAGGUCAGGCAGGAAAUGGAUAAUACCUCAGAGAAGGAAAGAAGACAGUUAUAACUACAUGUCUCAUAAACUCAGCUGUCUUUGCUUGUUAACCGCACCAGCUGCCCUUUGCUCUUGUGAGAGGAAGACAUUGGUGCCCCACCAGGAAGUUACAUAUCCAGAGAGAGAUAAAGGAACUGCAUCUGGACUAGCACCUGUUAUGAGUGAGAGCUAAACUUAUUCUAAAUGGGGUUCCAAACUAAACACUCCGAGUGUGUGGUUUUACAGGCGAUUUCAGAGUUAUUGG